ACUCUUUUCCCUUCUGAAAUCCUCUGAUCUACAACACAGUUUUGAUCCAAGAUGGCUUAAUUUAUAGUUUUUAAAAGAGAAGAAAAUAAGAGAGUGAAAAUGACAUCUUAGAUUUUUUUGUAUUCACUCAUUUGGGAACCAAUUGAUUCAGAUGCAAUUGAACUGAAUACACAAAUGAACGGGGCCUAACAUGGCUUAUAGGAGCACAUUUAAAAAAAAAUGUGUCUCAGUGUAUUGAAAACCUUUUAGUGCAAGGUAGGGGGUUCUCAGCCUUUUUCAAACCAUGACCCUACAUUCAGGCACACUCAACCAGCCCUCUUCAGAUGUGCCGAAGAAUCUUUUGUUCUCCUUGCUCUUGGAAAGACCUGCUCACAGAAUCCUACAGUGAGACACAGAGGAUGUCAUGGGAAUUAGCACAAAGGUUAUGGGGUGCACCUGACACAUGAAGAGGUCUUCGCUGCACGUGACAGAACAAAUCCAUUUCAACAGAGGGGAGGUCAGCGCCUGGGAAUGGGUUUCAGCCCUGUGACACCCGCACCCUGGCAAGUUGCAGCCCGAGGACCCUGAGAUUGAGAAUCCUCACGUCAGUGGCACCAGCUCCCUGGCUCUGGCCCUUGUGAUGGUCCCCCAGCAUGUGUUUAAUUGCUGUUCAAGAAACACUUUGCAGCUGGCAACUCAAAGUGUAUGGGAUGAUUCUCCAUUCUUUUGGCUUCCUGCCUUCUUUUCAUUCAUAUAUUUAUUUAUUCAUUUUCUUUUCUAAAUAGGAUUUCUCCCGAGAAUUAAGUCUAACACCUGCUGCGUCUCAGUAUUUCCAGGUGAGCCGAUUAUUUCAGGGAAUUUUAUUCACCUGAUCUUCCAUUAGGGCUGCUUUGCAAACCAGAGCAUGUGCUAUUUCUAGUGAAAUGACCCUGCUUCAGAACGCAGGUACAUUAAGGAUACUUAAUCUUCCAGCUGGCAUGGCAGAGGUGGUUAUAAUUGAGAAAAAUAAAAACUUGGAUUAGGCAGCCA
rnacentral:lncRNA from 1 species